rnacentral:rRNA from 1 species
UACGUAGGGUGCAAGCGUUGUCCGGAAUUAUUGGGCGUAAAGAGCUCGUAGGCGGUUUGUCGCGUCUGCUGUGAAAACUCGGGGCUUAACCCCGGGCCUGCAGUGGGUACGGGCAGACUAGCGUGCGGUAGGGGAGACUGGAAUUCCUGGUGUAGCGGUGAAAUGCGCAGAUAUCAGGAGGAACACCGGUGGCGAAGGCGGGUCUCUGGGCCGUAACUGACGCUGAGGAGCGAAAGCGUGGGGAGCGAACAGG